rnacentral:rRNA from 1 species
CAUGCAAGUCGAACGAUGAAGCCUUUCGGGGUGGAUUAGUGGCGAACGGGUGAGUAACACGUGGGUAACCUGCCCUUGUCUUUGGGAUAAGCCCUGGAAACGGGGUCUAAUACCGGAUAUGACCUGCUCUCGCAUGGGGGUGGGUGGAAAGUUCUGGCGGACAGGGAUGGGCCCGCGGCCUAUCAGCUUGUUGGUGGGGUGAUGGCCUACCAAGGCGACGACGGGUAGCCGGCCUGAGAGGGCGACCGGCCACACUGGGACUGAGACACGGCCCAGACUCCUACGGGAGGCAGCAGUGGGGAAUAUUGCACAAUGGGCGAAAGCCUGAUGCAGCGACGCCGCGUGAGGGAUGACGGCCUUCGGGUUGUAAACCUCUUUCGCCCAGGACGAAGCGAGAGUGACGGUACUGGGAGAAGGAGCACCGGCUAACUACGUGCCAGCAGCCGCGGUAAUACGUAGGGUGCGAGCGUUGUCCGGAAUUAUUGGGCGUAAAGAGCUCGUAGGCGGUUUGUCGCGUCGACUGUGAAAACCUGGGGCUUAACUCUGGGCUUGCAGUCGAUACGGGCAGACUUGAGUUCGGUAGGGGAGACUGGAAUUCCUGGUGUAGCGGUGAAAUGCGCAGAUAUCANGAGGAACACCGGUGGCGAAAGCGGGUCUCUGGGCCGAUACUGACGCUGA